CUACGGGAGGCUGCAGUGGGGAAUAUUGCACAAUGGAGGAAACUCUGAUGCAGCAACGCCGCGUGGAGGAUGACACUUUUCGGAGCGUAAACUCCUUUUAUAAAGGAAGAAGAUGACGGUACUAUAUGAAUAAGCGCCGGCUAACUCCGUGCCAGCAGCCGCGGUAAUACGGAGGGCGCAAGCGUUACUCGGAAUCACUGGGCGUAAAGAGCGUGUAGGCGGAUUAAAAAGUCAGAAGUGAAAUCCUAUAGCUUAACUAUAGAACUGCUUCUGAAACUCUUAAUCUAGAAUAUGGGAGAGGUAGAUGGAAUUUCUGGUGUAGGGGUAAAAUCCGUAGAGAUCAGAAGGAAUACCGAUUGCGAAGGCGAUCUACUAGAACAUUAUUGACGCUGAGACGCGAAAGCGUGGGGAGCAAACAGGAUUAGAUACCCUGGUAGUC
rnacentral:rRNA from 1 species